GGCCCUCGACAUUUGCAGCUAUAUAUUUAUGAUACAGAUGAAAAUUUGUUUCAUAGGGUUAAGAGGUCUCCAAAUCUUAGGUUAGAUCUCAUACGGAAGAUUCUGGCAAUACUAGAGCAUAACCCUUAUGCUCAAGUAUUUAAAAGCCUUGGUGCUGUUCCGAAUCUAGAUGAAUACAGGAUCUCAUUAAAUACCGAUAUCAAGCUUGAUCAACGGAGGUACAAUGCGCCAACAACUUCUCAGGUAGCAGCAAUAUGGGUUGAAGGGAGUGACCCACAAAAGACCUUUGAUAGAAGUGUUAUUGUGUACGGGAAAGGUGAGCGUCCCCUGUAUAUUAGAGCAUACUAUGGUUGCUACGACCCUUUGUCAUAUCCACUAUUCUUCCCACGUGGAGAGAUCGGUUGGAAUCGUUUGAUGCCAUAUAUUGAGGCCGCCGAUGACACAAACCAAUAUUCAGUAGAUGAUUCUGCACGACAAGAACGAUAA
rnacentral:rRNA from 1 species